rnacentral:rRNA from 1 species
GCUGAACGCUGGCUGCGCGCCUCAUCCUUGCAAGUCGAUCCAACAGACGCUCAGCUUUCUCCCCUGCCGUUAGCGGCGGACUUGCGAUUCACACGUGGCUCUCCUACCUCUACUACUGGCCUCACUUCGCCAAACCCGCGCUAACACCGCUUAAUAUAUUGACCGGCAUGGUUCAACAGUGCCACACGGCCUUGCCGUCCCUCAUAGCUCCCUCCGCCCCGCAUUGGCUAGUUGGUAAGGUACCGGCUUACCAAGGCAACGAUGCGUAGCCGACCUGAGAGGGUGAUCGGCCACGCUGGGACUGAGACACGGGCCAGAGUCCUACGGGAGGCAGCAGUAGGGAAUCUUCCGCAAUGGGCGAAAGCUUGACGGAGCAACGCCGCGUGAGUGAUGAAGGUCUUCGGAGCGUAAAACUCUGUUAUUAGGGAAGAACAAAAGUGUAAGGGAAGAUGGACGCCGUGACGGUACCUAAGCAGAAAGGCACGGCAAAAUACGUG